CGCUAGUAAUCGUAGAUCAGAAUGCUACGGUGAAUACGUUCCCGGGCCUUGUACACACCGCCCGUCACACCAUGGGAGUGGGUUGCAAAAGAAGUAGGUAGCUUAACCUUCGGGAGGGCGCUUACCACUUUGUGAUUCAUGACUGGGGUGAAGUCGUAACAAGGUAACCGUAGGGGAACCUGCGGUUGGAUCACCUCCUUACCUUAAAGAA
rnacentral:rRNA from 1 species